UACGAAGGGGGCUAGCGUUGUUCGGAAUCACUGGGCGUAAAGCGCACGUAGGCGGAUUGUUAAGUGCGGGGUGAAAUCCCAGGGCUCAACCCUGGAACUGCCUUUCAUACUGGCAAUCUCGAGUCCGGAAGAGGUGAGUGGAACUCCUAGUGUAGAGGUGGAAUUCGUAGAUAUUAGGAAGAACACCAGUGGCGAAGGCGGCUCACUGGUCCGGUACUGACGCUGAGGUGCGAAAGCGUGGGGAGCAAACAGG
rnacentral:rRNA from 1 species